UACGUAGGGUGCGAGCGUUAAUCGGAAUACUGGGCGUAAAGCGUGCGCAGGCGGUGAUGUAAGACAGAUGUGAAAUCCCCGGGCUCAACCUGGGAACUGCAUUUGUGACUGCAUCGCUGGAGUGCGGCAGAGGGGGAUGGAAUUCCGCGUGUAGCAGUGAAAUGCGUAGAGUAUGCGGAGGAACACCGAUGGCGAAGGCAAUCCCCUGGGCCUGCACUGACGCUCAUGCACGAAAGCGUGGGGAGCAAACAGG
rnacentral:rRNA from 1 species